rnacentral:rRNA from 1 species
AAGUUUCAACAACGGAUCUCUUGGCUCUCGCAUCGAUGAAGAACGCANCGAAAUGCGAUAAGUAAUGUGAAUUGCAGAAUUCAGUGAAUCAUCGAAUCUUUGAACGCACCUUGCGCUCCUUGGUAUUCCUUGGAGCAUGCCUGUUUGAGUAUCAU